rnacentral:rRNA from 1 species
GACAGAGGGUGCAAACGUUGUUCGGAAUUACUGGGCAUAAAGAGCACGUAGGUGGUCCGCUAAGUCACGUGUGAAAUCCCCCGGCUCAACCGGGGAAUUGCGCGUGAUACUGGCGGACUCGAGGCGGGUAGGGGUGAGCGGAACUCCAGGUGGAGCGGUGAAAUGCGUAGAUAUCUGGAGGAACACCGGAGGCGAAGGCGAAUCACUGGACCGCUUCUGACGCUGAGGCGCGAAAGCUAGGGGAGCAAACAGG